GACGUAGGGUGCAAGCGUUUGUCCGGAUUUAUUGGGCGUAAAGAGCUCGUAGGCGGCUUGUUGCGUCGACUGUGAAAACCCGCGGCUUAACCGCGGGCUUGCAGUUGAUACGGGCAGGCUAGAGUUCGGUAGGGGAGACUGGAAUUCCUGGUGUAGCGGUGAAAUGCGCAGAUAUCAGGAGGAACACCGGUGGCGAAGGCGGUCUCUGGGCCGAUACUGACGCUGAGGAGCG
rnacentral:rRNA from 1 species